rnacentral:lncRNA from 1 species
UGAACUACACCGGACAGGGCAAUAGAGCUGGCUGAUCUUCAACUCAGGUGCUUUGCCUGUCUUUGUGCCUAUACAAGUGGUGCUGAACCAACAUUAUCACCAGCACUACAGCCGGUUAUGUCUACUUCUGCAGAAGACAUUGGGCCCACUAUCAACCACCAGCCAGCUACCUCUGCUGAUGCAUUGGAUCAGCAGUCACAUCACUUCGCCUCUCGUCAGAUCAUCAUACAAAUUCUGCUGCUGCUUCCCCUGUUAUGCCCAAUGCUCCUUCUUCCCCUGAUUCUUCUGAACCAUCACCUUCACCAUCCACUGCUCUCCCAGUUCCUAUUCCUCAAAAUGAGCAUCACAUGUGCACUUGUGCCAAGGCUGGUCUUGGUAUUCCUAAACCUGUCUUUGAUCUUCAUGCCACUUCCAUUUCGCCUCUUCCCACAUCUGGCUACAGUGUGUUCCUCGUGAAGUUUCCUGAUCAUCCAAGCAAUAGCUUACUGUUUCUCGUUCAUCGGCCGAGGCUGAGUAUCACUCAGUGUCUCAUGCUGUAGCUGUGACAACUCCUUUACGAGCUACAACAAUCAAUUCAGCAGGUUGCCAUUGGAUUCCGUAAUGACAUAUCAGCUGGGUAUUUGUCAUCAAAUCCUGUACAACAUAGGAAAACUAAGCAUAUUUGAGAUAGAUAUACACUUUUUUAGGGAAAAGGUGGUAUUAGGCCAAGUCAGAGUGCUCCGCUUACCUACCACAGCAGGGGGUGUUAUAAAAGGUCUGCUCAUAGCUAUCUUCGGUGACAUCAGGUCCAGUCUCAAGGGUCACAACGCCUGACACUGAAACAUCAAGGGGUGUUAGACAGUAUCCCACAUGAGAUUUGAAGCUUUGAAAUGAUAUUUAAACUACUAGCAUAAAGCAAACAAGAGAUGCAGCCCAGUAGCCCACCACAGCUGAUUGCAUAAGCUCAUCCUUACCCUUGCAUUCAUUUCAAGCAGCUGUCUCAAGAACUCAAGUCUCUGAAACAACAAGGCAGGUGCAUGUAUAAAUUAGGUUCUAACAUAAAACGAUCCUACUAGAGAACAACAAAUGUCAUCCUACUCGG